CCUACGGGCGGCAGCAGUGGGGGAUAUUGGACAAUGGGGGAAACCCUGAUCCAGCGAAGCCGCGUGAGUGAAGAAGUAUUUCGGUAUGUAAAGCUCUGUCAGCAGGGAAGAAAGAAAUGAGGGUACGUGACCAAGAAGCCCCGGCUAACUACGUGCCAGCAGCCGCGGUAAUACGUAGGGGGAAAGCGUUAUCCGGAAUUACUGGGGGUAAAGGGAGCGUAGACGGUGAUGCAAGUCUGGAGUGAAGGGCGGGGGCCCAACCCCCGGACGGCUCUGGAAACUGUGUAACUUGAGUGCAGGAGAGGUAAGCGGAAUUCCUAGUGUAGCGGUGAAAUGCGUAGAUAUUAGGAGGAACCCCAGUGGCGAAGGCGGCUUACUGGACUGUAACUGACGUUGAGGCUCGAAAGCGUGGGGAGCAAACAGGAUUAGAUACCCCUGUAGUC
rnacentral:rRNA from 1 species